rnacentral:rRNA from 1 species
CUUGGCAACCAUAGCGAUUUGGACCCACCUGACUUCCAUCCCGAACUCAGAAGUGAAACGAAUUAGCGCCGAUGGUAGUGUGGG